AUUGAACGCUGGCGGCAUGCUUUACACAUGCAAGUCGAACGGUAACAGGGUGCUUGCACCGCUGACGAGUGGCGAACGGGUGAGUAAUGCGUCGGAACGUGCCGAGUAGUGGGGGAUAACGCAGCGAAAGUUGUGCUAAUACCGCAUACGUACUGAGGUAGAAAGUGGGGGACCUUCGGGCCUCACGCUAUUCGAGCGGCCGACGUCUGAUUAGCUAGUAGGUGAGGUAAAGGCUCACCUAGGCGACGAUCAGUAGCGGGUCUGAGAGGAUGAUCCGCCACACUGGGACUGAGACACGGCCCAGAAUCCUACGGGAGGCAGCAGUGGGAAAUUUUGGACAAUGGGCGAAAGCCUGAUCCAGCCAUGCCGCGUGUCUGAAGAAGGCCUUCGGGUUGUAAGGGACUUUUGUCAGGGAGGAAAUCCCUAGUGCUAAUAACACUGGGGGAUGACAGUACCUGAAGAAUAAGCACCGGCUAACUACGUGCCAGCCGCCGCCGUAA
rnacentral:rRNA from 1 species